GACCUGGCUCAGGAUGAACGCUAGCUACAGGCUUAACACAUGCAAGUCGAGGGGCAGCAUGAACUUAGCUUGCUAAGUUUGAUGGCGACCGGCGCACGGGUGAGUAACACGUAUCCAACCUGCCGAGUGACUCGGGGAUAGCCUUUCGAAAGAAAGAUUAAUACCCGAUGGCAUAGUUCUUCCGCAUGGUAGAACUAUUAAAGAAUUUCGGUCAUCGAUGGGGAUGCGUUCCAUUAGGUUGUUGGG
rnacentral:rRNA from 1 species